rnacentral:rRNA from 1 species
UACGUAGGGUGCGAGCGUUGUCCGGAAUUACUGGGCGUAAAGAGCUCGUAGGUGGUCUGUCGCGUUGUUAGUGAAACCUCACAGCUUAACUGUGGGCGUGCGGGCGAUACGGGCAGACUGGAGUACUGCAGGGGAGACUGGAAUUCCUGGUGUAGCGGUGGAAUGCGCAGAUAUCAGGAGGAACACCGGUGGCGAAGGCGGGUCCCUGGGCAGUAACUGACGCUGAGGAGCGAAAGCGUGGGGAGCGAACAGG